rnacentral:lncRNA from 10 species
CAUAACUAAAUGGAAUGUGCUGCUUUUCUACCAGAGUGCACAAAGGGAGUGAGCAAGAGUCUAUCACUGCCAAAGUGAGGAGAGGAAGACUAGUUGGCAUUCAUUUUCUUUCUCUCUUUUCCAUCUUCAUCCCUUCCCUCCUUGUUUCUGCCUCCAGCUCUCUUUUCCCUUACCUGGAUUAGGAGUAUGGGACUAUUGCUGGUGUCACCCUAAUAAAAAUUCAAAGAUAGGUUAAUAAGAGAUAGUGCCCAGAGAUGGGUAGUAAGCUAGGGUGUCAGUAGCUGCUGCCUGGUCUCUUUUUUUUGAGACAGGGCCUCACUCUGUCACUCAGGCUGGAUGGUAGUGGCGCUAUUAAGGCUCACUGCAGCCUCAACCUCCUGGGCUCAAGCAAUUCUUCUACCUCAGCCUCCCUAGUAGCCGGGACUACAGGCACAUUGCCAUCAUGCCCAGAUAAUUUUUGAUUUUCAGUAGAGAUGGGGGGUCUCACUAUGUUGCCCAGGCUGAUCUAAAACUCUUGGGCUCAAGUGAUCCUCCCGCCUCAGCCUCCCAAAGUGUUGAGAUUACAGGUGUGAGCCACCAUGCCCAGCUUUGCUGCCUAGUCUUUUCUUGUCUCUGAAUGAAAACAGAGAAAGCCCCGAAUUCCUGUCUUUAUUGUGUCAUCAUCUCAAUACAUGCCUUUGCAUAAUUUAGUUAACCUGUACUAGCCAUCCAUGAUUUUCUCAACUUUGUAUGAAAUACUAUCUUUCCUAUUAUCUGCUCUCAAAGAAUUUUGGCUUGGCCAUGAAAUAGUACAGUGACAAUGACAAUGUUCAAGAGAUCAUGGUGUUUUGUUUUAUUUUGUUUGGCUUAAAUAAAAAUUCUCAGAAGUAUCACAUAUAUGUCUAUAGUUGCAAAAGUGCAACAUAGCUUUAUAGUCUUUGAAUAGCACUAUUCUAAAAGGCCUUAUGAUUUUGGAACCUAUAGCUAAAUAAUAUAUUUGAUCAUCCUGAAACAUCUAUUGCACAAAAAUGAAAGGAAAACAGGAUUACCACAGUAAAAAAAUACCGUUUUCAAAACAGAAGAAACAAUGCUUGCUUCAACAGCACAUAUACUAAAAUUGGAAUUACACAGAGAUGAUUAGCAUUGUCCCUCUGCGGGGAUUACGUGCACGUCAUUUGUGAAGCAUUCCAUAUUAAAAAAAAGAAAGGUUUGAGGUGGUCAUUAGAAUAGAGUUCCUCUCUUUUUUUUUCUUUAGCAGAAACCUUUUGGGAAGGUUUGGGGGCUUUGGGUAUUGAUUGGCUUAGAUGCUGAGUAAUCAUAGGUCUUUGUUUGCUAGGCUCAGGUUUUUUUUUUUUUUUUGACAGAGUUUCGCUCUUGCUGCCCAGGCUGGAAUACAAUGGCGUGAUCUUGGCUCACUGCAACCUCUGCCUCCCGGGUUCAAGCGAUUUUCCUGCCUCAGCCUCCCGAGUAGCUAGGAUUACAGGCAUGCACUACCAUGGCUGGCUAAUUUUGUAUUUUUAGUAGAGACAGGGUUUCUCCAUGUUGGUCAGCCUGGUCUCGAACUCCCAACCUCAGGUGAUCCGCCCACCUCGGCCUCCCAAAGUGCUGGGAUCACAGGUGUGGGCCACUGCGCCUGGCCAGGCUUAGGGUUUCUAAAGCAAUAUAACUUACAUAUAAUGUUAGUACUUUUUUGUUUUCUAUUCACAUUCCCCAAGGUUAUAACCAAAACCAGAAUUCUUUUUAUCUUGUUUCUUAGAACAAACCAGUGCUUGGGCCGUCCACUACUUUGUAGCUUGUUGACC